UGCUGUUGCCAAAUUGCCAUCCUGCCUCUAUAGAGUUAUCCUCCGAAAUCACACAAGCUAAGCAGGGUCAGGCUGGCUUGAUUCCCCGAUGGGUGACUGCCAAGGAGCUCCUAUUUGCAGCAGGAA
ensembl:rRNA 5S_rRNA 5S ribosomal RNA